AACGCGAAGAACCUUACCCAGAUUUGACAUGCAGUAGACAACGCUAGAAAUAGCGUCUUCCUUCGGGACUGCUGCACAGGUGCUGCAUGGCUGUCGUCAGCUCGUGCCGUGAGGUGUUGGGUUAAGUCCCGCAACGAGCGCAACCCUUAUCAUUAGUUGCCAACACGUUAUGGUGGGAACUCUAAUGAGACUGCCUGGGUUAACCAGGAGGAAGGUGAGGAUGACGUCAAGUCCGCAUGGCCCUUAUGUCUGGGGCUACACACGUGCUACAAUGGUCGGUACAGAAGGCAGCGAAGCCGCGAGGUGAAGCAAAUCCAAAAAGCCGAUCUCAGUUCAGAUUGUAGUCUGCAACUCGACUACAUGAAGACGGAAUUGCUAGUAAUGGCGAGUCAGCAACAUCGCCGUGAAUACGUUCCCGGGCCUUGUA
rnacentral:rRNA from 1 species